GACGAACGCUGGCGGCGUGCUUAACACAUGCAAGUCGAACGGGUCUGCCCUGUUUUUUGCGGGGUGGGUCAGUGGCGAACGGGUGAGUAACACGUGAGUAACCUGCCCCUCACUUCUGGAUAACCGCUUGAAAGGGUGGCUAAUACGGGGUGUUCUGGCUGUGCCGCAUGGUGUGGCUGGGAAAGAUUCACUUUUGUGGUGUUUUGGUGGGGGAUGGGCUCGCGGCCUAUCAGCUUGUUGGUGGGGUGAUGGCCUGCCAAGGCUUUGACGGGUAGCCGGCCUGAGAGGGUGGGCGGUCAGACUGGGACUGAGAUACGGCCCAGACUCCUGCGGGAGGCAGCAGUGGGGGGUAUUGCACAAUGGGCGGAAGCCUGAUGCAGCGACGUCGCGUGAGGGAUGGAGGCCUUCGGGUUGUGAACCUUUUUCGCCGGUGAAGAAGGUCCUGCUCUUUGUGGUGGGGUUGACGGUAGCCGGGUUAUGAAGCGCCGGCUAACUACGUG
rnacentral:rRNA from 1 species